AAAAAUUAUGUUGUUUGAUAUUUUAUUUUGGUCAACAGAUGACGCCACUUUCCACUCAGUAAGUGUACUAAGUGGCGGGUCGAAAAAACCCCUUCCGCAGGCUGCCCACCCCUGCGGAGGGGUCAGCCGGAUUGUGGAGGACGGGGAUCGACUUACCGGGCUCGGACCCCAUGAUAAAUAUUUUCGAGGGGUGGGAUCCGAGAUUCGAACCCGGGUCCUCCAGAGUGGAAAGCCGAAGCGUUUCCACGCGGCCAAUCCGGCCCUUGGUGGUGCAUCGCCGCUUCUGAUCUCUUUUUUUGUCAACAGAUGAUACCACUUUCCAUUCUGGAAGAAUAAGUGGUGGGACGAAACAACCCCUUCCACAGGCUGCCUAUCCCUGCGGAGUGGUCAGCCGGAUUGUGGAGGACAGGGA
rnacentral:lncRNA from 1 species